ensembl:lncRNA
UAAGAACUCACGUUAAUAUCUGGUAAUUGAUUGUUUAUUUCAAUGCAUUUAGUUAUGUUUGGGAGAUUGUUUAGGGGUUAAAAUAAAUACAUAAUUUGUAUAGGAGCUGUCGAAGCCAGACUAAAAGUGAGAAGGGAGCCUCCGGCACAAGGAAAUUACCGCGCACCCGCGUGACCUUUGAGCAAGGAGUGUGAGCCGGCGAAAAGGACGGGAGUGGAGCACGCUAGUGCCCCGGUGAGCAGUGCCCCUCCGUGGAGAGAAGAGUAUUUUAUAACCUAUACGGACCACUGGGCUCUGGUACCGACACCCAUUCAACACAAUCUACAUUGCCAAAACACCACGGGGAACUCCAACUUUCUGCCUGACUUUUCCGUUCAGUAGAGAUACGCAGAAAUAAUCUGAAACUGUUCGCUCCUGGAUUUUUAACUACAUCGAAAAGCAUCCACUAUACCCUUCUACUUUUCGAUCAAAGUUAAUAUUAGGCUACACUGUUGUGGCUAUUUGGAUAUUGAGGUGUUCAUAUUUCCACCGUUUGGUUAUGGGCAGGAGUGUCAUGCACCCCAAAAAACUGAGCAGGCACAAAGUAUGUGACGAUGGCUGGGGGGUGAUCCUGGAGGAGGGCUAUGCCCCCAUCCAUAAAUUGGAGAAUUUAGCAUUUUUUGUUGUUGUUGUGUUUAAUCCCUUUUUUUCUCCCCAAUUGCGAUCCAAUCUCAUCGCUGCAACACCCCAACGGGCUCGGGAGAGGCGAAGGUUGAGUCAUUCGUCCUCCAAAACAUGACCCACCAAUCCGCGCUUCUUAACACCCGCCCACUUAACCUGGAAGCCAGCUGCACCAAUGUGAGGAGGAAACACGUUCAACUGAUGACCGAAGUCAGCCUGCAGGCGCCCGGCCAACCACAAGAGCGUGAUGAGCCGAGUAAAGCCCCCCCGGCAAAAACCUUCUCUAACCCGGAGGGCAUUGGGCCAAUUGUGUGCCGCCCUAUGGGACUUCUGGUCACGGCCGGUUGUGACACAGUCUGGGAUCAAACCUGGGUCUUUAGUAACGCCUCAAGCACUGUAAUGCAGUGCCUUAGACUGCUGCGCCACUCGGGAGGCCCAAUGUAGCAUUAUUUCAAACUCCUGAAACAGCUUUUUCCUGUGAUCUAGAGCCAUAAUCAGUUUGCUUAAUUAUAUGUAAAGCAAUAAUGAUAAUAAUUCUGCAUGUCUAAGCAAACGUCUUGAGCUGUCUGUAUCCUCCUGACAAAACUACAUAUGCUUCUCUGAAUCUCUGCUCAAGGGUAAAAUAUUGUUAUAGUUUUAACCAUGUUUUGAGCCUAGUGCUUGUUUACAAUUACAUCAUUUGUAAACAAUAGAGUAAAAAAUGCGUAUAUUUUGGGUUCUGAAGGGUUACGACAGUUGAACUAAGGUCAUGAGGGAUUUAUAAAUAAUAUAUUUUUUAAAUCAAUUGGUAUACAAAUGGUAUAUUCACGGUCUCUCUCUUCAAGCAGAUUUCAGUAAAAACUGUGACUGGGCCACUCAGGGACAUUCACUGUCUUCUUGGUAUGCAACUCCGAUAUAGAUUUGGCCUUGUGUUUUAGAUUAUUGUCCUGCUGAAAGGUGAAGCCAUCUCCCACUGGCCCCUACUACCAUUACAUAUUUUGUCUUGCCUAUUCACACCCGGAAUGGUAGACAUACACAAUCCAUGUCUCAAUUGUCUUCUCCCCUCCAUAAUACAUUGAUGGAAGUAAGAUUUAACAAAUGACAACAAUAGGGGAUCUAUGUCAUGGAAAGAGCAGGUGUUUGUGAUGUUUUGUACACUCAGUGUAGAUUGAAAACCUAGACCUACAGCCAUAGGGCCUGUAUAUAUGCCCACUCCUUAUACAAAGUCCACAUUCAACCAAUUCAUUUCAUCCUUUUUUUUAAUCAGCAAUAACCCAGUAACCUCUCCUCAUGUGAAGUCAACAUCUUUCCCCUGCAAAACCAAUUUGUGCUGGAGAAUGAAGUAGCUAAUAAAGUAUUAGUGACUGUGAUUACAUUAAGUCUUUACGCAAAGGCUUUCAUUCGAUGUCAUGUGAUUCAAGCAAGGAGUUCUUGGUUCAAUUGAAUACUUACUGGUUCAGUCGUGUUUAAGGCUAAAUAUAUUUGAUGAGCUUGGUAGAGCUUGGAAGAGCACAACCCUUGCAUUUGAACAAAUAAUCCAAGUCUGCAUCUUGGCGACACACUUGAGAAACCCGAAGAAAAUGCACCAAGACAAGAGAAUCAUAACAACGCCCAUGGCGCUGUGGAGAACAUGUGAGCAAAUACAAUCUAUCUAAGUUAUAGUAUCAACAUAUAUAGAUUCUCCUUUUUUCUACUGUAUUAUUGACUUGUUAAUUGUUUACUCCAUGUGUAACUCUGUGUUGUCUGUUCACACUGCUAUGCUUUAUCUUGGCCAGGUCGCAGUUGCAUAUGAGAACUUGUUCUCAACUAGCCUACCUAGUUAAAUAAAGGUGAAAUAAAAAUAAAAAAUAUUUAAAAAAUACCGUUGUGUGCUUCAACAAAAUAAUAUGUCUUUGCUCAUCAAAGUGUGCAUCUCUGCAUUAACAGCAAAUCAACUAAGAGCUGCUAAUAGUUUAUAAAACUGCAACCAAAUACUCUCCCCAAACCAUUUGUCUGUUGACAUUGUAUUCAUUUAAUGUCCUUUAGUAUUGGUUUCUUUGCAGCAAUUCAACCAUGAAGGUCUGAUUCAUGCAGUCGCCUCUGACCAGUUGAUGUUGAGAUGUGUCUGUUACUUGAACUCUGUGAAGAAUUUAUUUGGGCUGCAAUUUCUGAGGCUGGUAACUCUAAUGAACGUAUCCUCUGCAGCAGAGGUAACUCUGGGUCUUCCUUUCCUGUGGCGGUCCUCAUGAGAGCCAGUUUCAUCAUAGCGCUUGAUGAUUUUUGAGACUGCACUUGAAGCUUUCAAAGUUCUUGACAUUUUCUGCAUUGACUGGCCUUCAUGUCUUAAAGUAAUGAUGGACUGUCAUUUGUCUUUGCUUAUUUGAGUUAUUCUUGUCAUAAUAUUCUUACUUUGAAGAAUAUCAAAUAUAAAAUAUAUUUUGAUUUUUUUAACACUUUUUU